GAGAACAAAAGAGGGCCAGGGGGGAAGGGGAGCAGCCGUCUUACUCCGCUGCCGCAGCUGGCGGCCCAUGCUGCCGCCGUUUUCUUCUCCCCCUCUGCCAUCUCCCCACCUCUGCUUCGGCUAGGCCACAGGGGUGCACACCCGCAAACCCUACACCUCCUCUCGCUAUCUCUCUCACACGGAGAACAAACAAGGGCCAACCACGGAGAUGAGGCGACGAUCCCUGCGACGGAGGGAUCGAUCACGGCUUUCCCUCACGGCCUUCUCUUCGAGCUUAGGACAACCCCAACGAUUGGUCCCCUAUUCAAUGUGUCGUGUUCAUCUUGAAGAACGGAUGAGCCAUAUAAUAUUACUAUUAAGAUGAUUGUAGUUGAUAAAGAUCACAAUGCAUGGCUGCGCACAACAUCAUUAUGCACACGUGCAUGGUGGCGCAUAGCUCUGCCUCCACGGAACAUCAUCUGUUCUUAUUGAAACCAAAGGCCGUACUGUUACUGCUGGUGGAAUCGCCUUAUCCGCGCUUCCUUCGGAUUGUUUUUUUUAUCGCGCUGCACCUGCUCCUCUUGAUUCUUUGAUCUGUGUGCUUUUUGCCAGCAUGUUUCUCUUUCUGUAGCAAAAUUGGACAUUUUUUUUUACUGAAUUUGUUAUUCUUCUUUGAACCAUUUUUCUACAAGCCACAGAAGGAUUUUUGAUGUGCUAGCCUCGGUCCAACUCAUUCACGUAAUUUAAUUUAUAAUUUCUUAAUGGCAUCAGCAUUCUACAUUCACAACCAAAGAAUCAUUAUGUAUUGUAAAACUAUUAAAUUUAUUAGAUCCAGACGCUUCGUAUAGCUAAUGCUUUAUUUACAUGUUUUAGGGCCUAGCUGAUGGACGACCAACUCAAUUUUCAUACAAGGAUAAAUUAACUGUUCGAAUCACUAGGAUAUGGGAAUAUUGAAGCGGUGAUAGGACUGAAUUAUAUGGUCAGAACUUCGUCAUGGUAGACUCCAAGGUAAGACUCGCACAAUUGUUCAUGCUUUCUGAUCUAUCCUUACCAUGUAUCACGCAAAUUAAUAGAGACCAUCUGCCUUACUAGGAUGGCACGAUAGAGGGAGCAAUUCCUAAAAAAAGAAUGCACAUCUUUGAUAAUAGAGUUCGCGAAGGAGCAGUUUACAAGAUUGGUUCCUUUGAAAUCGCUAAGUUCAGAGAGAAAUAUAGAGCGACAGAGCACCCAUCCAGGUUCCUGAACCAAAAAAUUUUCCCCAAGUUUGGAUACACAACCUAUCCUAUAGCAUACUUUGAAAAACAAAUUCGAUUGAAUACAAACCUGUCAAGUCAGUUAAUUACAGACGCAUUUCCCUUGGAAUGCUGACUGUAGUGUUUACAUCGGUAGUUCAUUUAUCCAUUUCCUAUGCACAGAUGUUGGUUUAGUUACAGGCAUUUUCUACCCACUUUUACUAUGCACAGAUGCUGACUGUAGUGUUUACAUCAGCUGAGCGAAGGGGACAGUUCCAUAUCACUGAUGGCUAGUACGCAUUUCACAUCUUUUGCUCCCACUUUUUAUUCAUUUUUUUGCUAUGAUACAAUCUUAUACAAAGAAAUUGCAUCCUACUUUUAGAACGUGUGCUGUUGUUACUAUGGGGAGGGGAAAUAUGCGGAUGCACUCGAUGCCGCCUAUAGACUACAGUGAUGGUCAAAUGAUGGACCUGUUGUUCUAUUGUUUUUUCUUCCAAGAAACUGCCAGUCUAUUCAUCUUUAAUCAUGGCAAUACAAAGAACAACAAGAACAAUAGAGGUAAUAAAAAGGAAGCGGCGAUUCGGUGCCCGAGCGCAGCUGCUCCCGAAAUCGCUCGUGUCCGUUUCUAGCUCGGGAUGCGAAUAAAGCCCACUGGCGCGUCAGAAGCGAGCUGCAGAAAAUCGGGCAUUCGCAUGAAUACGGGUAUGAAACAGUGGCUCUUUUGUGGGCCCAAGGCGAAGGGAAGGGACGGAGGAAGCGAGCUGGCGUACUGGGCCGUGGACCAGGACGUUACGGAUUUAGCCGGGCCAUGGACCAGAUAAGGGGCCCCGAACAGUUGUCCACAUCUGAGUGGGUCGUUCUGGAAACCCUCGCCGCCACCCCUCUUCGGGCAGAAGCACCGCUAUCCCUUCUCCUCUAGUGCUUGCGGCGGCGCUCGUCCUGUCCGGGCGCCGACGGUUGAAAGGAGGAGGAUGGUAUGGAGUUCCUGCUUUACGCCAUUGACAGGUUAGUCCAUGCAGAUCUGUAAAAUGGUUUUGGGAUUUCUUCAGCAAGCUACCGCGCGUGCAGAAGUAACCUGACGAACGAGGCUUGUUGCCGGUGAAUGCCGUCGUUUUUUCAGAGUUCACUGACAGCCUUGAUCACCAGAUUAGGUUCCCCUCGUGUUCUUAUCGGGCAACGGAGCUGCCCCUGCAGUUCCUGCUGACUCUAAUGCUGGGUCUGGUUGCGCCGAAAAGGUCGGGGACGAUGGCGCAGGUAGAGCGCGUGAAGGAGUGUGCCGUCGCCGGGACGCAUCUCCGACAAGAUCGGCGCAGUCGACUCGCAGAGUCAAUCCAGAAGCACCUGGCUGGCCAAAAAGGAACUCGACUCUAUACCUCAAAGCCACGGAAGUCGUGCGGAUGGGCGAUGCGAGUGCAGAAUCUUUUGAUCACAUGUUUGUUGGUCUCUGAAGCUCUGCUUGUGAGUGGCGCACCUUUGGUAGAGAAGAGGGAUGGUUUGGGUUUUGAGGACUGUAUGGCAGGUCUGGCAACUGGGAGAAUGGAUGGCAAUGGCGAAGUCGCAUUUGUUGGGGACAACGGUGCUGACCAGUGCCAUAGUGGUGGGCACUCAUUCAGUGUGAAUACCCUUCAGGGUCUUGCAGCUCCAGAUAAACAUAGAGGGUCACAAAAGAACAACAUACCUGGAAAGAGGGGAGUAAGGCCCCAUACGAAGGUCUGAGUAAGCGAACCAGGUUCUGUAGCAUUUGCCAUCGCGAGGGUCACAAAAGAAUAACAUGCCCAGAAAGCGGGGAUGCCCCCAAGAAGCCACGGAAGCCGGGAAAAUGCAAGCACUGAGGGAUGGAAGGACACCGACAGAACACUUGCACAAGGCCACUGUGAGUUACUGAAAAAUGAGUUAUGAAGUUUCGAUUUGUAAUAUCUGCUGGAAAUUCGAAUUGCUGGAAAGAUUAAAUGCAAGUGUUGCUGUGGCAUCACGCAAGGGCAGUAUAAAGAGUGCACGACGGCCAGCUGCUACCUUGCCUUCCACCUUUGUUGUCUAAUUCAAAAAAAAUUGAAGCUAGCUUCUGCAGCCGCUGGCGCGGACGUUUGCUGAAUCUGGCUUCAGUGGCAUGACCAGGAGCUGUGAAGGAGGCUAUUCAGUCAGCGGAAUGAAGGGUUCAGUCAUCUGCCUGCCUCUUCAGUGGUGGACUCAGCGGCGACCGCUUGGAGUACAACACAGCUGCUGGCGCAAGAAGAUGGCGUGAUUGAGGAGGGGGAGGUGAUCCAACGGGAUUGCUGUUGUGUGUUGAAGCAAGAGCUGGACGAGGAGGGAGGACAAGAUUCAGUAGAAGGCUUCGGCGACCACGAUCCUGCCGAUGCAGAGGGGAUAGAGGGUGGAAAACAUAUCUUGCAUAAUUUGAUGUGGCCGAAGAAAUUGAAUCCGAUGACGAUGAAGAAGUGAGCAGCAGGAGUCAAAGCGGACGCCGUACUCAGGCAUGAUAUGCGAUUACGGCGUGUAUGGCAUCAGAUGAUGUAAUCCUUGUAGGGUUUCUGAAUGUGCCGACAUGAACACUGCUCGCUCAUGUGCAUCAUUAGUUCGACCAGUUAGUGUGCCCAAUGUUAGUUGUUAUUAGGGAAAAGUGGUUGCCCAAUGUAUCCAACCGUAGGAGGGCCCGUGAAUGUCCCAGUCCGGCUCAGAUACAUGGCUGAGCCAUCCGACCGCAAUCUGAUCCGGAGCCACGUCGCAUUGAUUGCGAGGCUGGGCUGAACUAAUUUUGGCAACAUACGUUUGGGAAAUACACCACAGCGCACAUGCCAACUUGUGGUAGCGACAA